rnacentral:rRNA from 1 species
GAUGAACGCUGGCGGCGUGCCUAAUACAUGCAAGUCGAGCGAACGGACGAGAAGCUUGCUUCUCUGAUGUUAGCGGCGGACGGGUGAGUAACACGUGGAUAACCUACCUAUAAGACUGGGAUAACUUCGGGAAACCGGAGCUAAUACCGGAUAAUAUUUUGAACCGCAUGGUUCAAAAGUGAAAGACGGUCCUGCUGUCACUUAUAGAUGGAUCCGCGCUGCAUUAGCUAGUUGGUAAGGUAACGGCUUACCAAGGCAACGAUGCAUAGCCGACCUGAGAGGGUGAUCGGCCACCCUGGAACUGAGACACGGUCCAGACUCCUACGGGAGGCAGCAGUAGGGAAUCUGCCGCAAUGGGCGAAAGCCUGACGGAGCAACGCCGCGUGAGUGAUGAAGGUCUUCGGAUCGUAAAACUCUGUUAUUAGGGAAGAACAUAUGUGUAAGUAACUGUGCACAUCUUGACGGUACCUAAUCAGAAAGCCACGGCUAACUACGU